AGAUGCCGGUGGAAAUAUAAUAUCAAAUACAGGUGAUUUAGUCAAAGGAGUUGCUGAAACAGCUGGAGAUCUGACAAAUUCAUUAGUUGGUGGAGAAAAACCAGGAUUAAUACCAAGUAUAUUAGGUG